rnacentral:rRNA from 1 species
UACGGGGGGAGCAAGCGUUGUUCGGAUUUACUGGGCGUAAAGGGCGCGUAGGCGGUCAGUGCAAGUCAGUUGUGAAAUCUCCGGGCUUAACUCGGAACGGUCAACUGAUACUGCUCGACUAGAGUGCGGAAGGGGCAACUGGAAUUCUCGGUGUAGCGGUGAAAUGCGUAGAUAUCGAGAGGAACACCUGCGGCGAAGGCGGUUCUCUGGGCCUUACCUGACGCUGAGGAGCGAAAGCGUGGGGAGCGAACAGG